GGCAAUUCUUGGGUGACGCACCCCAGAAUUGGGCUCCCUCCUCUCUGGUUCAGGGUGCAUCACCCCAGAACCACU
rfam:Myotis davidii contig111600, whole genome shotgun sequence.